rnacentral:rRNA from 1 species
AGAGCGAACGCUGGCGGCAGGCCUAACACAUGCAAGUCGAGCGCCCCGCAAGGGGAGCGGCAGACGGGAGAGUAACACGUGGGAACGUACCCUUUGGUUCGGAACAACACAGGGAAACUUGUGCUAAUACCGGAUAAGCCCUUACGGGGAAAGAUUUAUUGCCAAAGGAUCGGCCCGCGUCUGAUUAGCUUGUUGGUGAGGUAACGGCUCACCAAGGCUACGAUCAGUAGCUGGUCUGAGAGGAUGAUCAGCCUCACUGGGACUGAGACACGGCCCAGACUCCUACGGGAGGCAGCAGUGGGGAAUAUUGGACAAUGGGCGCAAGCCUGAUCCAGCCAUGCCGCGUGGAUGAUGAAGGCCCUAGGGUUGUAAAGUCCUUUCGACGGGGAAGAUAAUGACGGUACCCGUAGAAGAAGCCCGGCUAACUUCGCGCCAGCAGCCGC